UAAAAACAUUUAUUGGUUGAGGACGUAUUAUAGUUGACAUGGCCUUUCUACCAGGCUUGGUGGUUAAUAUUAACAGUACAGCUUCCUACUUCCUCUACUCUUUAGUCUCAGACAUGGAGCUUCAACAUUCAACAAAAAAAAAAAAAUUGAAAUAAUCUUUACAUUUCCUUGACACACACAGGUGUGUGUGUGACGGUGUGGAAUGUGUGUGAGGGUUAAACAUGAUGAGAUGGUCAACUAUAACAAUAUACAUGAUUAAGAUCAGAUUAUGGACAGAGCAGAGCACAGAGCCAGGUUACUAUAGCCUGGGUUACACCCUAUGGGCCCUGGUCAACAGGAAGCACACCAUAUAAGGAACAGGGAACCAUUUGGGAUUCAGACAUUAUAGUUAAGCAGACAGCAUCACUCCAAAUAACCUUAGUCAGCCAAUCACAUCGCUCUAUCCCACCCACAGAAUCAAGACUGACUAACUGGCUGGUUCACCAGAUGUGAUUAAGAAACUAAACAUGAGCAUCGUAUUGGUCCAGACAAACCACAUGAUCUCAACAUGAGGACUUCCUACUCCAGAUUACCACAUUAACAACACAUAGGACCAGUUUCCUGGACACAGAUUCAGCAGUUUUGGUCCAGUAGGAUUCAUGUGAGUCCAGGAAGCCAGCCUGUAAUUAAGCAAUAAGGCACAGCCCCCCUGUAGUGCCAAUAUACCACAGCUAAGGGUUGUUCUUAGGCACGACGCAGCGUGGAGUGCCUUGACACAGCCCUUAGCCGUGGUAUAUUAGCUAUAUAAACCCCCAAGGUGCCUUAUUGCUAUUAGAAACUGGUUACCAAUGUAAUUAGAGCAGUAAAAAUUAAAUGUUUUGUCAUACCCGUGGUAUACGGUCUGAUGUACCACGGCUGUCAGCCAAUCAGCAUUCAGGGCUUGAACCACCCAGUUUGUAAUUCUCUAUAAAAGGCUGUAUUUAGUCUGUUUUACAGCAGGCUAGUGUUCUCAGGAGAAUCCAGCUGAGUUUAAACACAGCAUGCUGUUUUCUUCCAUAGUGAGUAGCAUGCCAGGGCCAGGAGCCGCUUCCAGGAGCCGCUUCCAGGAGCCGCUUCCAGGCCACUCAGUGUGUGGUGUGUUGCUCUCUCCUGCGUCUCUCCCAUUACCAUGACAUUCCUUCACACAGACACUGCCCCACUGACGGCCAUCUUUGCUUGUUCCAUCGCCAUAAGCAACAACAGCCCAGCAGAGAGAAGGAACACAGUGCACAUCAAAAAUGAUGACAUUGUACACAUGACACUGUGCACAUCAAAUUAAAAAAAGUGUAAUGAACCCAGAUGUUUUCAGUCUAAUCUAACCUACUCUCUGACAGGAUAUGUGUAAUCUAAAGAGAAUAUAGUGACAUGGAGUUGCAUCUCCUCCAGUAUGUAUGUAAGCGCUGCACAUUAGUCUUUGGCAUGGUUCAGUAUCGGAGAAGCCCAUUGGUUGAGCUGACGUUCACGCCAGACCAAUAACAGGAGAACAGAAGAUCAGGUCAAUGCUUCAUCGUCGUGGAUUAAAAACCUCGUAUUUACUUGGUUAAAUAACAUCCACAUACGUUUCCCAGUGACAUAAAGAGGGAAAUAAAAAUAAGCACAUUAAAUCUGAGUCUGAAUCGAUUUUUAAAAAAAACUGUUGAGAUUGAAAGAGAUCCACCAUAUUAUCAAUUGUAAGACUUUAAUUCUUUAAGACUUUAAAUUCUUUACGACAGUAUUAAGACAUCUAUAAACGUUCUUCAGGGCUUCAGACUUUUUCAGAGAGGCAGCUGUUCUCAUACACUCCUCAGAGUACACUACAGCUGUACCAACCCACCACAUCCACCCCAGGAGGUUAACAGACGGCCCUACCAGGACAACCCACCACAUCCACCCCAGGAGGUUAACAGACAGCCCUACCAGGACAACCCACCACAUCCACCCCAGGAGGUUAACAGACAGCCCUACCAGGACAACCCACCACAUCCACCCCAGGAGGUUAACAGACAGCCCUACCAGGACAACCCACCACAUCCACCCCAGGAGGUUAACAGACACCAUCACAUCAACCUCUCUCUUCCCCCUGUGUAGGAAGCACUGAUCAGAACCAAGAGCUUUCAGAACCAAGAGAUACAGCAGUCUAGCUAGGGAGGCCUGUCCCGUACCACUGUAGGGGCUGGAGGUCAGGGCCCUAUACCACUGUAGGGUUAGAGGUCAGAGGUUAGGAUAGUAUGUUUAAAACCAUGGUUACUUGGUUAGAUUACAGUACUGUUCAUGUUGCUCUAAACACAGUAAAAACAGAAAAUAAAUCAUUCAGAGAAAAUAAAAAAGAAAGCGCCUGAAAUGAACUGAAAAAACGAAACAAUAAGAUGUACAGCUGUAGUUCUAACAAUAGUAUAAUAAACAAUAAACAAUAAUAAUAAUAACAACAACGUGUGUAUAGAUAUGUAGGUACUAGAGAGAGCUAUUCCAGUUAUUUCUCUUCUCCUCAGAUAGAUGAUGUUACCUGCGUCUCAAAUGGAACCCUAUUCUCUAUAGGGCACGAUCACAGCCCCUAGGGCUCGGAUCAAAAGUAGUGCACUACGUAGGGAACAAGGGUGCCAUUUGGGACUCGCAGUCCCCGUCUGGUUGAGGGCGCCUUGCUCCGGGUUUUGGCACAAGACUUAACGUCCACGGUGAGAUGAGACCAGGGGAUUGGCUGAAAAUGUAUUCCAUACGGCGAGAUGAGACGACGGGACAGAUCUGGGAGACAUGACAGGCUCCGCCCCUUACUGGUCCCCCUCCACUCGCCUCUUGCGGACUGGAGAGAAGACAGGAAGAGGACAAGGAGAAGAGGACAAGGAGGAAUUGUACAGUGAGAAACUUGAUCAAAACACAGCAAACAACAUGGUGAUCAAACAAUCCUAAAACAGUCCCGUGCUGGUCAGAAGAGACAG
ensembl:lncRNA